rnacentral:misc_RNA from 1 species
GAUGAAGAACGCAGCGAAAUGCGAUAAGUAAUGUGAAUUGCAGAAUUCAGUGAAUCAUCGAAUCUUUGAACGCAUCUUGCGCUCCUUGGUAUUCUGAGGAGCAUGCCUGUUUGAGUGUCAUUAAAUUCUCAACUACACUGACUUUGAAUUGGUGUGGCUUGGAUUUGGGGGGAAAAUUGUUGUGGGCUUUUUGUAUAGUCUGCUCCCCUGAAAUUGAUUAGCGGUACCUUUGUGGAACUGUCUACAGGUGUGAUAAUUAUCUACAUCUUAGACAUCUGCUGGAAUGCUGCUUUCUAAACCUUACUUGUAUUGACAAUCUUGACCUCAAAUCAGGUGGACUACCCGCUGAACUUAAGCAUAUCAAUAAGCGGAGGA